CCUACGGGAGACAGCAGUGGGGGAUAUUGCACAAUGGGGGAAACCCUGAUGCAGCGACGCCGCGUGGGCGAAGAAGUAUUUCGGUAUGUAAAGCCCUAUCAGCAGGGAAGAAGAAAUGACGGUACCUGAGUAAGAAGCACCGGCUAAAUACGUGCAAGCAGCCGCGGUAAUACGUAUGUGGCAAGCGUUAUCCGGAUUUACUGGGUGGAAAGGGAGCGCAGGCGGCACGGCAAGCCUGAUGUGAAAGCCCGCGGCCCAACCGCGGGACUGCAUUGGGAACUACCGGGCUGGAGUGCCGGAGAGGUAGGCGGAAUUCCUAGUGUAGCGGUGAAAUGCGUAGAUAUUAGGAGGAACACCAGUGGCGAAGGCGGCCUACUGGACGGUGACUGACGCUGAGGCUCGAAAGCGUGGGGAGCAAACAGGAUUAGAUACCCUUGUAGUC
rnacentral:rRNA from 1 species